rnacentral:rRNA from 1 species
GAUGAACGCUGGCGGCGUGCCUAAUACAUGCAAGUCGAGCGAACGGACGAGAAGCUUGCUUCUCUGAUGUUAGCGGCGGACGGGUGAGUAACACGUGGAUAACCUACCUAUAAGACUGGGAUAACUUCGGGAAACCGUAGCUAAUACCGGAUAAUAUUUUGAACCGCAUGGUUCAAAAGUGAAAGACGGUCUUGCUGUCACUUCUAGAUGGAUCCGCGCUGCAUUAGCUAGUUGGUAAGGUAACGGCUUACCAAGGCAACGAUGCAUAGCCGACUUGAGAGGGGGGUCGGCCACACUGGAACGUAGACCGGGUCCAGACUCCUACGGGAGGCAGCAGUAGGGAAUCUUCCGCAAUGGGCGAAAGCCUGACGGAGCAACGCCGCGUGAGUGAUGAAGGUCUUCGGAUCGUAAAACUCUGUUAUUAGGGAAGAACAUAUGUGUAAGUAACUGUGCACAUCUUGACGGUACCUAGUCAGAAAGCCACGGCUAACUACGUG